AUAUACUCAAAACUUUAUUGUUUUUGGUUAUGGGCAUCUAUUCUUGAUUGAAUUUGCCUGAAAUACAACGGUAGAGUGGUCACUGGGAAGACAGGUUUAACCAAUGCUAUUAAAUUUAUCGUUGGGCAGGUCUGUUCUUUUAGGUGACUAUGCUUCCUUAACGUCCUUGCGGACAACAUUUCUUAAA
rnacentral:misc_RNA from 1 species